rnacentral:rRNA from 1 species
UACGUAGGUGACAAGCGUUGUCCGGAUUUACUGGGCGUAAAGAGCGCGCAGGCGGGCGUUCAAGUCGAGGGUGAAAGCCCCCGGCUCAACUGGGGAGGGUCACUCGAUACUGAUCGACUCGAAGGCAGGAGAGGGUAGUGGAAUUCCCGGUGUAGUUGUGAAAUGCGUAGAUAUCGGGAGGAACACCAGUGGCGAAGGCGACUACCUGGCCUGUUCUUGACGCUGAGGCGCGAAAGCUAGGGGAGCAAACGGG